ensembl:lncRNA
UCUGACAUUUUGGACUCUGACAUUUUUCAGAGUACAGUCGAGUCUGUGACAUGUGUAACAUGAUAAAAAAAUGAAUAAGAACAUAAAAUUAAGAUAACAAGAAAUUAAUGAAUGUCUCCCUGCCUGAUCAGGGGGCUUUCUGUGUGCACACACUUGAAACAUGCGCACAGAAAGCCACUUCACCGUGCAAGGACCGAAUGGACUCAAUGGAUGAUCGCUUCCGCGUUUUGUCUCAACCAGCUCAGUUACAUCUGGUGUCAUGCCGGAAGCCGUUUUCGCUAUUGGCGAUAGCUGUGUGAAGAUGGCGCAGGAGAAAAUGACAUAUUACACUCGCUGUUUCUUCAGAUUAACUUGAAUGACGUCAAUCAUAUUGUGAGGCCAUCAGCUGUUACACCCAACAGUAAGGAGGAGAAGGGCUUCAAAUGAUAUAUUUUGAGCUACAACUUUGAGGCCUAUAUAACUGUGGAGGAGACACAUCAAAUAAGUAAAACCGGAGGACACAAUAUAGUGUUAUACAAUAAUAAAACAGGUUGAUUUGUAUUUUCAUACACUUGUAAUAUAAUAAAAAUGCUACAUAUAUCUCUAUAUCCCCUUUUUUUUAUUGAAACCCUUUUUUGAGAGGAAACUAGUUGAGGUGCUGAUGACAUGAAAUAAAAAUAUUAAAUGGC